AAGACGUACGAGGCUGACCGCGAGAAUGGGAAAGAUAGAUGGUGAACAAACGACUAAGAGAGGAGGAGAGAAAGAAUGAGAAAGAAAAAAGAAAGGAGCACGAAGCACGACCAGAUCUCCGUGGCGCAGCGGGUGUCGCGGUAACUCUUACCUCAAGUGGGUAUGCGUGUUGCGAGUACAAUGCCGGCUAAUGAUGCCUCGACGCCGGUAUGUGGAGCGACCGACCGAACACACAACGACUCCGAUGGAACCGCAAAAAGAGACCGAGCCACUAUGGACGAAG
rnacentral:misc_RNA from 1 species